AUGACUACCUGCUUCUCUGAUUUAAUAAGAGAUCAUUCCCUGGACUUUAUAGGUCUGCAAGAAACUAUGAAGAAAAAAUUCUCUCCUAAAUUCCUAAGAAAGGUAGACCCCUUGGAUAGAUACAUCUGGAACUGGACCCCUUCUAUUGGCAAAUCAGGUGGUCUCCUAUGUGGUAUCAAGAAAGAAAAUCUUGACAUUAUAUCCUGGGUACUUGGAAGCUUCCUUAUUCAAGCUAACAUAUAUGAUAUUAAAAAAAAGUGCGUCUGGGCUCUCGUAGUAGUCUAUGGGGCAGCUCAGGAUGAUAGGAAAAAUGAAUUCUUAAAUGAGCUAGAUACUACUUGUUCCCAGAUCCAUGUCCCCUAUAUAGUGGGCGGUGAUUUCAAUAUCUUACGAUACAGUGAGGAGAAAAACAAAAAAAUGACCCAUUCCCAUUACACAGACAAAUUUAAUUCUGUUAUUCAAUCCUUAAAUUUAAGAGAGAUUUAUAUGGGAGGGGAAAAGUACACUUGGUCCAAUAAGCUGAAACACCCUACCUUGGAGAAACUAGACAGAAUUCUUAUGAACUCUAAAUGGGAGGAUCUAUUCCCUUUGGUAUCUGUUCGUAAGUUGGUGAGAGAUACCUCGGAUCACAAUCCACUACUUUUGGUCACAGAACCUAUGAAAACUAGCCCUUCCCAUAAUCAGGAAUUUAGAUUUGAGCUAAGCUAG
rnacentral:rRNA from 1 species